AAAAAGUUUUAUUUUAGCUUAAAAAUUAAGUAUUAUUUUUUAUUAUAUGUAAAUAUUUUUAAAGAAAUAAUUAGCAGUUUUAAGUAUUUUUUUUUUAAGAAAUUAAGAAUUAGAAAUAAUAAUAAUUAUAAACUAAAUUUGUGCCAGCAGUUGCGGUUAUACAAAUUAUAAUAUUUAAUUUUAUUAAUUUUAAUUAAUUGGAAAAUAAUAAAUUUAAAGUAAAAUUUAAUAAGUGAAAUUUUAAUUUUUUAAUAAAAUUUAUUUAUAUUUAUAAUGAUAUUAAAAAUUUUUAAAAAUAAACUAGGAUUAGAUACCCUAUUAUUUAAAAGGUAAUUUUUUAGUUAAAUUAGUAUUAGUUAUGAUCUUGAAAAUUAAAAAUUUUGGCGGUAUUUUAAUCUAUUCAGAGGAACCUGUCCUAUAAAUGAUAAUCCACGAUUUAAUUUACUUUUAUUAUUAAUUUAUAUAUCAUCGUUAUUUAAAUAUUUUUUUAGAAUUUUAAUAUUUAUAAAUUUUAAUUUAAAAGUAUUUCAGAUCCAGGUAUAGUUUAUAUAAAAGAAGAGAUGGGUUACAAUAAAGAAAUUUUAGGAUAAUUAUUUUUAAAAUAUAUUGAAUGUGGAUUUGAAAGUAAUUUUGUUUAAUUAAUCAAAAUGAUUUAGUACUAAAAUAUGUACAUAUUGCCCGUCGCUUUCAUUUAAUAUGAAAUAAGUCGUAACAAAGUAGAUUAACUGGAAAGUGAAUCUAGAUUACA
rnacentral:ncRNA from 1 species